rnacentral:lncRNA from 1 species
GAGAGAGAGAGAGUGGGGUGUGAGAGAGAGAGGGUGGAGUGUGUGUGUGUGUGUGUGACGUGGCGAUUCCGGCUGCCACGUCAAUAUUCCGGUCGCCGGAAUUCAAAAUUAUGUCAAAAUUGAACAACUUCUUAAAUUGGUGUAUUAAAAUGUAAAAUCCUAAGUUUGCGUUAAAUUUGGAUUUUUGGCAAAGUUUGUGUAUUUUGGUGCAAUUUUCCCUAAAAUAAAAUAUAAAUUAAAUUAUUUUACAAUUACCGGCGAUGACUCACCGCCGGUAAUGCAGCCGGUAAAAUAAAAAAGACUGGUCAGCUUGUAUGCUGUCGUUGUGCUGCCGGUAUUUUGACCUUUUUUUGUAGUGUGAUUUAUACUACAAUGGUGCAUAUUGUAUAUUGAUUCAAUUUAUCAUCAUAAGACACAUUUUUUAAUAGUGAUCGAAUAAGAAGAGGUGGAGAAAAGAAUGGAGCAGCUCAAGGAUGUUUACCCAUGCAAGGUUUGCAUACAGAUCCCCGAAGUAAUAUCUGCAUCUAUAUGAUGCUACUUCAAUUAUUUCAGCAGAAAGUACUGAAUGCAGCUCAAAUAUGACAGGAUGCAACAAAAAUGAAGGAUUGGAAACAGAAGUUAGAUCGAGACGUUGAGUCUAUGAUCUCAAACUCAAACGUUUUUCUUCUUCGCACGGUUAGUCUAAUAGGUCCACUAUAACUACUAUUGAUUUCCAUUGUUUAAUGUUUUGUUUUUCUCUUUCACAUUAAAUUUCAGUUUCUGGGACAGAUUGGGGUUUCAUGCCCUAAUAUGGAAACAUUAUGCAUUAAUGCAUAAUGUUUCCAUAUUAGGGCAAGAAAACCUCAAGUUUUGACCGAUGAAAGUUAGUCAUAGUUUCAUUCAAAUCCUUAGAUAAUGAUUCACUUGGAUAAUUACUGAUUUUUUAUCUAAUGGUUUGAUAGGUGCUGAAAGAGCUAUCAGAUGGGCUCUAAAUCAUUCUUGUAUGCACUACUCUGGGUAGACAAGAAAAUACAAUUGUUAUUUCCACAGAAAGGUAUAUAUUGUUUCAACUAUUCCCCUUACCAUUGGUAGGAGUGUGUGAGCAGUUGGUUUAGUUUAAAGUGUGUGCACUAUUAUUUAUGACAUUGUACAACAUCAAAUAUGGACUUGACAUUCUACAAGGAAUUCAAGAUGAAAACAAGAGUUUGAAGUCCCUUGCUACGAAUGAUAAUGAAUUUGAGGAAAAAAAAUAUUUUGGUGGCUACUCAAUUCGUUGGCAAGCUUAAUGAUUAUCAAGUUGAGGAAAAGUGAUACACGAAGCCCUAGCUCUAGUUUAGCCCACUUAUGCAUAGCCCAUAGCCCAUUAGGUUAUGAUAUAAAUAUUGUAAUCUCUAAGUUAUUACUUAUGGAAUGAAUAUUUGGGUUGAUGUUUAUCAAAUCUAUCUCUCUUCUCCCUUGAUUUCUGGAGUUGGGCUACUUGAAUUGCUCCACCAUUGAUCGUGAUUGUAUCAAUUGCUGAUGUAUUAUUCAACCCGGUGACAUUGAAGUUACUUUCAAUGACAUUGGAGCUUUGGAAAAUGUAAAGAAAGCCGUGAAGCAAUUGUUACCGCUACCUUUGGAACGGCCAUAAAUCUUCAAGAAUGGACUGCUUAGCAAAGUUAAAUGCCUUUUGUGUUUAAAGCAUUUGAAUGAAAUUGAUAUAUAUAUAUGUUUUAUUUUUUCUAACUGUGUCAUUGGCAGCCUUGUUCGGGAAUAUUGCUCUUUGGGCCUCCCGGUACCGGUAAAACAAUGACUGCAAAAGCUGUUGCCAAAGAAAUUGGUGCAACCUUCAUCAAUAUAACCAUGUCAAGUGUGUAUUCAAAAGUAAAGUAACAUUUUUUAGCCAUUAGCCUAUGUUUUAUUAUAUAUGAUUAUUUUGCAUCUGUGAAUCUGAGAAGUAUGUUAAAGCAGUCUUCACUAUCGCCUAGUGUUAUAUUUAUUGUGUGAUCCUCCAUAUGUAUUGUUGAUGUCUUAUUUAUAAGAGUUUAAAAUUAUUUAAGGCCAUUAUCUUAGGGCUAUUUGCAAAAAUAGGCCACUAUUUUUCGGACUUGCAAAAAUAGGCCAAUUAUUUUAGUUUUUGCAUUUUUAGGCCACAUUUGAGCUCAAUUCAACAUUUAUAGGCCAUUUUUUGGGGUCAAAAUGUGGCCCAAAAUAGCCUGAUUAGAUACACAUGUGGCCUAAAAAUACCAAAAACUAAAAUAAUUGACCUAUUUUUGCAAGUCCGAAAAAUAGUGGCCUAUUUUUGCAAAUAGCCCUAAGAUAAUGGCCUUAAAUAAAUUUAAACUCUAUUUAUAAUGAUAUUCUCUUGAAAUAUUUAUUUUUUUAUAUCUAUUGGCAUAGGCUGACGCAGUAAUCGGGGAAAAGGGGACGGCUUGCGUACAAAUGAGAAUAAACGAGUAGUGGUUCUUGCUUGAUCUGGACGAGACAGUAAUCAGGAAGCUAUUAUCAUUGUCGUCUAAAACAUAAGCAUUCUUCAUCUUUGUUUACAAUUUGUGCAGGUUGACGCUCAUCUUUGUUUACAAUUUGUGCAGGUUGACGCUCAAAACACAGAGAAAAUAUUGAAGCUGAUAUUGCCCAAAGAAAAACUAGGUGCAGAUGUGGAUUUCAAAGUUCGCUGAAAUGACCGAUGGAUAUUGGGAAGUGAUCUAAAGGUUUUUUCACGUUCAUGAGUUUUAAAAUAUAUUCGGGUUUCAGCUUCUUAUCAGUGGCAGAUCCACAUGGAGGCUACGGACUCCCAAACUUUCAAUUUAAAAAAAAAUAAAAAUUGAUAGCUUACUUGAUUUUUUUAGUUUUAAUUUUUAUGUUUUUCAUUUAAUUUUAAUUGCUGAAAUUUAAAUAGCACAAUUUACUAAUAAUUAAAAUUACAUUAAUUUAAAUAUCCUAAAACUUACAUAAAAAUAAACACCUAAAGACAUAAAUUUAAAAUGACUUAAAUCCUAAAAAAUGAUGGCCACCAAGAAUUAAAAAAUAAAUAAAAAUCCCAUAGAUGAGCUAUGGUAUUUAUAACUAAAAAAAUACACAAAAUAGAUGACACUGUCGAUUAAAAAAAUCCCAUAGAUGAAAAGGAAGAUACAUAAUUUUUUUUUCAUUAUGGCGCGUGUAAGAGGAGAUCGGGGUUACCCGUUCAAUCGGGUAACCCUCGAGUAGAUGUUACCUACAUUGGGCUACUUGAUCUUGGGGCUACUCAGAGUAGGGGAGAUCGAGUAGCCCCAAUGCGAAUGCUUUUACAACUUUAUAGAAUUGGGAAAAUACCAAAGUUCACUAAUAGUUUGUGAUUUACAGCCAAUUAAUGUCUCAAAAAAUAUGUUGUGAAAUACUGAUCUAUAAAAAAUAAUUAAAGUUCCAAAAACUCUUUCUACACUAAUAGAAAAUUUAAAAGAAAAAUAUCUAUGUAUUUUGGUGAAAACUUUAAAGAGAUAACAGUGUUCAUUAGAUAAAAAAGGUUUUGUCAAAAUCUUGAUCAUUCACUUGAUAAGGCUCCAACUAUAAAAUAAUUUCAUCUUCAUUUUAAUGCUACUAUUUUUGUUAGAGCUAUUUUAUAUAAUAUAAAAAACUUAUAAAAUUUUAUUUUCUAAAUAUAAUAUUCUAAAAAAUAUAGAUUAUAAUAGAAUUUGGAUUGGGAUUAUGUCAUAUCCCAGUUUUUAAUCACUGAUUAAAGACUUAAUAAUUAGGGUUCGGCAUCCAUUAAUAAUAAAACUGAUUUAAUUAAUCUGAUGUGAUUUAAUUGUUAUAUAUGUGUUUUGAUGUGCUAAAUUCUUAUUAUUAUUAUUUGAAUCCGUUUGAGAUUUAAAGGAUUAUUGAGUAGUCAAUAAUUAUUAUUUCGGAUUAUAACUGACUUAGCAGAGUCAUGUUAUUUAAUUUAUAUACGAUAGAAAUAGUAUUUCUAUUAUUUACUUGAAGUCGUAAUUAAUUUUCGACUUAUAAAACGAGUUAUAAAAUAUGUAAUUUAUAGAGAGUUAUAACGAAGCUUCGUUAUAUGGGAACCCGAAAUUAGUAUUACAAAUACAGAAUAAGGAUUUUAUUCAUCACAUUCAUCUAGCACCUACACAUUUCCACAUCCAUCUUACUCUUAAAUAAAUUGAUGGUGUUGGAAACACUCAUCAUAUGCCAACUAUCCCACUAAACACUCAUCAUUCCACUAAACACUCAUUAUUCCACACACUCAUCAUUCCACUAAACACUCUUUACACCUUCUUUUGCCAGCCAUCUUCUACACUUUAACAUCUCAACAUGCAAUUAGCUUUUAUUUAAUCAAAAUCAGCAACCAACAUUCCUCCCAUUCCUCCUAACAUUCUGAUCCAAGCUAUUCUUAUGCUUGAAUUAUAAUUCACUGAUUCCAGCUUUCCAAAUCAGUUUCCAAGAUUUCCCAAAACAAGAAAGAGGUAAUAAACGUCCAUUAAUUCUUCCAAUUCUUUCAUAGUUUUCAGAUCCAAAAUUUCAUUGUUAAGCUUGGCUGAAUAAAUUCGCAGAUCCAAUUUUGGUGAAUUCGCAGAUCAAACUUUGUGAGUUCAGAAAAUUAUCAAGGUUACUUCCUACUUCCUCCAUACAUUCAUUUGUUAAAUUUCAAAACCAUGAUUCAAAUGAAAACAGCAGCGAACACACGCAUCCAUUACCAUUUCUUUUAGACUAUUAUUGCUUCAAUUGCAUCAGCUUAUCACCAUCAGAGAACCACCAACAGAAUAAUACACACGCACACAUUUUACUAUAUUUCUAUCUAUUACAAGUACAUAUCAGUUUUUGUAAAUAGAAAUGAAUGAAAAUGAACAGAAUUGAAACCCUAAGUGCUCUAUGUGUGUUUUGUGCGUGUGACUGGAAUUUGGGGGGGUGAGAGCAGCCGGCGGCUGCUCGCGGCCGGAGGCGGCGCGGCGGCAGCCGCCGCCUUUUUCCUUUGUCUAUCUGAAACGAGAGAGAGAUGGUUAGGGCUGCUAGUAAAAAAAAAAAAAGAGAGAAGAGAAGGUAGAACGAGGGAGGGAGAGAGAGAGAGUAGGAGGGAGAACUUAUCUUCUCCGGUGACGACGAUGCGGCGGCAUCGGCAGCGGCGACACGGCAGCGGGAGCACCGAGCUGUUCCUGGUCGGCCGGAAAAGAGAAAAAGAGGGGGAGCUCAGAUCUGGAGCCUACCUUCCCGGCGAGGCAAGGCUCGGCCUCCACCGCGAUUCCAGCAAGACGAACGACGGGAGCGGCGACGCUCGGCUCUUCCCCGUGAGUCCGGCGGUGGUUGUGGGCGGCGAAGAUGGAUGCGACGGUGGGGGUAGCCUCUGCUGCCCUAUUCCGAGCAAGGAGCCGUGGCUCUGUUUUUCCGGCGAGAUAGAGAGAGAAGAGGAGAGACCGAGAGUAUGAGAGGGGGAGGGGAGAUGCACGGCGAGGCGGCGCGCCGGAGGCGGCGCCGCACUCGACCGAGCAGAGAGAGAGAGGCGAGAGAGCCGAGUGAAAGAGAGAGCAAAGGGGCUGGUGUGUGUUGUGUGUGUUGUGCGUGUGUGUUAUGUAUGUAUUAGGGUUAGGUUUAAUUGGGGCUCAAGCCCAUUCUCUUUCCAUUGGGCCGAAUUUGUUUUAUAGUUGUUGGGCCGAUUUUAAUUACUUCUGCUGGGCCCAAUUUGCUAUAAAUUCUGUUGGGCAUUUAUUUUAAUUGUUUUGGGCUCAAAUUUAACUAAGUUUUGACCUGUUAAUUGAAUAAUAAAGCCUACGAAAUUUUGGCCUUAUUUCUUUUAAAAAUGUUU